rnacentral:sRNA from 2 species
ACAUAAACCCGAUUGCAAUGGAAAGCCGCCGCUCCUUCUGCGGCGCUUGGAACGGAAAGCGGGACUACAC